AGGACGAACGCUGGCGGCGUGCUUAACACAUGCAAGUCGAACGGUAAGGCCCUUUCGGGGGUACACGAGUGGCGAACGGGUGAGUAACACGUGGGUGACCUGCCCCUUACUCUGGGAUAAGCCUUGGAAACUGGGUCUAAUACCGGAUAGGACUUCAUGCUGCAUGGUGUGGGGUUGAAAGCCAGUUACUUUUGUUUCUGGCGGUGGGGGAUGGGCCCGCGGCCUAUCAGCUUGUUGGUGGGGUGAUGGCCUACCAAGGCUUCGACGGGUA
rnacentral:rRNA from 1 species